GAUGAACGCUGGCGGCGUGCCUAAUACAUGCAAGUCGAGCGAACGGACGAGAAGCUUGCUUCUCUGAUGUUAGCGGCGGACGGGGGAGUAACACGUGGAUAACCUACCUAUAAGACUGGGAUAACUUCGGGAAACCGGAGCUAAUACCGGAUAAUAUUUUGAACCGCAUGGUUCAAAAGUGAAAGACGGUCUUGCUGUCACUUAUAGAUGGAUCCGCGCUGCAUUAGCGAGUUGGUAAGGUAACGGCUUACCAAGGCAACGAUGCAUAGCCGACCUGAGAGGGUGAUCGGCCACACUGGAACUGAGACACGGUCCAGACUCCUACGGGAGGCAGCAGUAGGGAAUCGUCCGCAAUGGGCGAAAGCCUGCCGGAGCAGCGCCGCGUGAGUGAUGAAGGUCUUCGGAUCGUAAAACUCUGUUAUUAGGGACGAACAUAUGUGUAAGUAACUGUGCACAUCUUGACGGUACCUAAUCAGAAAGCCACGGCUAACUACGUG
rnacentral:rRNA from 1 species